rnacentral:rRNA from 2 species
AAAUUGAAGAGUUUGAUCAUGGCUCAGAUUGAACGCUGGCGGCAGGCCUAACACAUGCAAGUCGAACGGUAACAGGAAACAGCUUGCUGUUUCGCUGACGAGUGGCGGACGGGUGAGUAAUGUCUGGGAAACUGCCUGAUGGAGGGGGAUAACUACUGGAAACGGUAGCUAAUACCGCAUAACGUCGCAAGACCAAAGAGGGGGACCUUCGGGCCUCUUGCCAUCGGAUGUGCCCAGAUGGGAUUAGCUAGUAGGUGGGGUAACGGCUCAC